CGCGCUUGCGCUGCGCUGCGUUGGCUGACCGCGCAACGAAGACGACGCGGCCGCUGGUUCCGUUUUGAUGCGGGAAUUUGAGGAUGCCUUUCAAGGUUGCCGAAAAAGUCAUCGGUUCCUUGGUUUGUUUGCGAAUCGAUUCUCAGUGUACAUAAGCACGUGAGCUUUCAGGCGGAAGGCACGGCGGUGCAGUAAAAACGUGACUUCUGUAAGCCCUCUGUAGCAGAGAAACGGCCCCGCUUCGCCGUCACGCCGCGUUCGUCUCACCGCGUUUUGGCGGCACCUGCGUUUGGGAACAACUGUUUUCGGGAUGAAGCACGGGAAGAGUGAAACUUCAUUACAAAUCUCCGAGGAACGCCCUGAGAGCUCACUAAGAACUGCGGCCAUUGCCGUGGCACCAGGUUUCCGUGGAAAUAAAUAGGAGGCAUUAGUUUUGGAGCAACCUAUGUGGCUCUAGUUUGUUCCUCUUCACACCGUAUGGCCCAGGUAAGCCAAAAGUUGGACCAUACUAUAGAGCUCCUAGUACACUUUUUGUACUGAGAAGACUGGUCCGAGGAUCAAGCAUGUGCUAGAAAAUCUGCUUUCAGGUCAGAUUUGCUGGUUAGACACACAUGUUAUUACAGAUGACAGCAAUUUGUGAGAGAAUUGAAGCAGUGCAAUCGGAUGUGGAGUGGUGCAGGUAAUGAAGCCAAAAUGAUUGAAGAUGGCAUGUCAGGUUGGCUGCAUCUGCCACUUUUUCCAUCUCCCUGAAACUUCCUUUUAGCACUGUAAGUGAAAGAAAGCUUAGUAUAUAGGGGUGGGAGGAGUUUAAAUUUAGUAGCCGCUGUGUGCCAAGCAUAUAGUCAUUUUUCUUCAGGGAAUUAGUUGAGUCCAGCACAUUGGCAAUGGGUAAGGGGAAACCUAUUCUGCUUCCAGCUGGCUGAGCUAGGACUCCAUAGCUCAGAGGUUUGAAGCAUUAUGCUGCCUGACAUAGGACGAUUGCCUGAUGACCAAGUACAAGGUUAGGAAAUACAAAUUACCACUCUGACAAAGCCAUCAUAUGUGUAGGGAGAUUCUGAUCUUGUUACCAGUAUUAAUAAGAAACAAUUAAAUAUGUUUAUUUUGGUAAAAUAGCAGGAAGAAAGAUGGAUAAGAAGUAAACCCAAAAUAAACUAUUUAAAAGGGGGAAUUAUUUUUUGCCCCAAAGGACAAAAGGCAUUGUUUGUUAACCAUGCAAAUUAGCUUGUAAUUAUGCAGUUAAUUAGUAUAAGUUAAGUUUGAUUGUGUUUUUCAAAAAAACAGUUGUUUAAUCUAGACUACUUUUAUUCAACAUCAAAAGCAGAACUACUUGCUGUGAGGGCCAGUACAUCCGUCCAAAAGGCUGAAUGUAAACCAGACAACCAGCAAAAGGGGAGUCCUUUUCCAGUCUCAGCUCACUCUCACAGCCCAAAGACCCAGAUCUUCACCUGCCACUGUGCUUUAUGCUUAGCCUGUCAAGUGAAGUGCAGUCACGAGUAUUAAGAACUUCUUAAUCGUAAAACUGAAGUGCUUGUAUUGUAUUAUUAUCAAGCCAUCUGAAUGCUUCAGAUAAUGCUUAUUGAAAAACAAAAAUGUGGAAAGCUGGGGAUCUGAGUCUAAAUGCAGAACUCUAGCCACAAGACAAGAUCAAGUUGUUUUUGUAAUAGGAAAAUAUUACUUUCUGGGAAUUGCAAAGAAUUAAUUUACAUGGUAGAUCUGUUCACCUUCCUGCUACUUGUGUAUGUCCUUUCUAUGUUUAACACUUACAUACUGGUUUGAUGUAUAUGAUACAAAUAUACAUUUAAAUAUAUAGAUUUGAAUAAAAUAGUUUGUUUUGUCUCUUUUUAACAUGAAUUUAAGCUACUAACUUGUGUGACCAUGCCAGUUUAUAUACAGUCAUUCAUGUUUCUCCUUUGUAAAAACAUAGUUGAUAAACUAAGAGGAGAUGCCCAUUGAAUUCUAUACCCUUUAUAUUCUUAAUACAUCUCAGAGGUUGGAGAGAGAAUUUCCUUUUUUUU